rnacentral:rRNA from 1 species
AUUGAACGCUGGCGGCAGGCCUAACACAUGCAAGUCGAGCGGAUGAAGAGAGCUUGCUCUCUGAUUUAGCGGCGGACGGGUGAGUAAUGCCUAGGAAUCUGCCUGGUAGCGGGGGAUAACGUCCGGAAACGGGCGCUAAUACCGCAUACGUCCUACGGGAGAAAGCAGGGGACCUUCGGGCCUUGCGCUAUCAGAUGAGCCUAGGUCGGAUUAGCUAGUUGGUGAGGUAAUGGCUCACCAAGGCUACGAUCCGUAACUGGUCUGAGAGGAUGAUCAGUCACACUGGAACUGAGACACGGUCCUGACUCCUACGGGAGGCAGCAGUGGGGAAUAUUGGACAAUGGGCGAAAGCCUGAUCCAGCCAUGCCGCGUGUGUGAAGAAGGUCUUCGGAUUGUAAAGCACUUUAAGUUGGGAGGAAGGGCAGUAAGUUAAUACCUUGCUGUUUUGACGUUACCGACAGAAUAAGUACCGGCUAACUUCGUGCCAGCCGCCGCGUAACAC